GACGAACGCUGGCGGCGUGCUUAACACAUGCAAGUCGAACGGCAAGGCACUGCUUUUGUGGGGUGCUCGAGUGGCGAACGGGUGAGUAACACGUGAGUAACCUGCCCUUGACUUUGGGAUAACUUCAGGAAACUGGGGCUAAUACCGGAUAGGAGCUCCUGCUGCAUGGUGGGGGUUGGAAAGUUUCGGCGGUUGGGGAUGGACUCGCGGCUUAUCAGCUUGUUGGUGGGGGAGUGGCUUACCCAGGCUUUGACGGGUAGCCGGCAUGAGAGGGUGACCGGCCACAUUGGGACUGAGAUACGGCCCAGACUCCUACGGGAGGCAGCAGUGGGGAAUAUUGCACAAUGGGCGGAAGCCUGAUGCAGCAACGCCGCGUGCGGGAUGACGGCCUUCGGGUUGUAAACCGCUUUCGCCUGUGACGAAGCGUGAGUGACGGUAAUGGGUAAAGAAGCACCGGCUAACUACGUG
rnacentral:rRNA from 1 species